AUCUAUUGGGACUUAAUUUUUUUGGGGGAGUGGGGGUCAUUAAAAUGGAAAAAGUUUAAAGAUAUGUUGUCUUCUCAUCCUGCAGCCCACCACUUCUCUCUCUAUAUAGAGCUAUAGCAUCUGAUGACAGCUAGCUAGAGUGACCACAGUGAAACACAACCAUAAAACACAGCUGCCCAGAACCUCUCAUUGGAUCUUCUUGUCUCAUCCUUUUCUGACAGGGCAAGGCUGGGGGUGAAAAGGGCAGCAGGUUAGGAGAAACAGUGAAGGUUCUUCAUGCUGCCUCUAAAGAAUUUUGAGAAUUGUCAUAGACUGGCUGCACAGACAGUGAC